rnacentral:rRNA from 1 species
GUAGGGAAUCUUCCACAAUGGACGAAAGUCUGAUGGAGCAACGCCGCGUGAGUGAAGAAGGGUUUCGGCUCGUAAAACUCUGUUGUUAAAGAAGAACAUAUCUGAGAGUAACUGUUCAGGUAUUGACGGUAUUUAACCAGAAAGCCACGGCUAACUACGUGCCAGCAGCCGCGGUAAUACGUAGGUGGCAAGCGUUGUCCGGAUUUAUUGGGCGUAAAGCGAGCGCAGGCGGUUUUUUAAGUCUGAUGUGAAAGCCUUCGGCUCAACCGAAGAAGUGCAUCGGAAACUGGGAAACUUGAGUGCAGAAGAGGACAGUGGAACUCCAUGUGUAGCGGUGAAAUGCGUAGAUAUAUGGAAGAACACCAGUGGCGAAGGCGGCUGUCUGGUCUGUAACUGACGCUGAGGCUCGAAAGUAUGGGUAGCAAACAGGAUUAGAAACCCGGGUAGUCC